CUUUUUUGUAUUUAGGAUUUUGAAAAUCCUUCUAGACAUUAUUUGUCACCUAGUGAAUUCACUAGU
rnacentral:tRNA from 1 species